rnacentral:tRNA from 1 species
AAGGCUUUAUCUUAAUUAAAGUGUCUGUUUUGCAUAUAGAAGAUGUAGGUUAAAAUCCUGUAAGUCUUA